rnacentral:lncRNA from 10 species
CUGCGCCCAGCCAGAGCUACAGGUUUUACUGUAACACUUUAGAAGGUCCUUUUUCUUUGUACCUCUGUGAUGUGUUCACCUAGCAACAGCUUCUUUGAUAUGCAAACAUUCUACAGGCAAAUUGCUCAGAGCAGCUACUCAUGUUGGACAAUUCAGGUCUCUUCUGGAAACUGGCCUUGUAUUUGGAAUUUUCUCCAGAGUCUGAUGUGGUAAAAAUUUAUACUUUUCACUUCUUACUAAAUGCAGCAUAGCAUACUACAUCUUUUGAGUGUGUAAAAAAUAAAGUAGUCAUGUACAAACCUAAAAUCACAGAAUAAUCAUGUAACGGUGCUAUAUUUUAUUUUUACUUUAGAUUCCUAAUACAUUUUUAUUGUAUCUUUAUAAGGUUAGUUUGGGAGAAUAGCACUAUCAUCAUCUAUAUUAGUUAACUUUGCAUUAAGGUUUUUCAUUAAGGUUUUUCCCCUGUUUGGUUCUUUCAUUUUACGAUCCAUAUUUUUUGUGCCUGGUAUGGGAUGAUAAAGAUAACAGAAAUAGCUCCUGUUUUUAGGUACCUUUAUUUGUUUGUUUGUUUGGAGACAGGGUCUUACUCUGUCACCCAGGCUGGUGGCACAAUCAUAGCUUACUACAGACUAACUCCUGGCUCAAGCCAUCCUCCACCUCAGCCUCCCAAGUAACUGAGAUUACAGGUGCACACCACCACCUCUGGCUAAUUAUUAAAAUUUUCAUAGAGACAGGAUCUCACUUGGUUGGCCAGACUGAUCUCAAACUCCUGGUCUCAAGUGAUCCUCCCACCCCAGCCUCCUGAAGUACUAGGAUUGCAGGCAUGAACCACUGCCCUGGCCUAGAUACAUUUAAUGUAGUAGAGGAGAUGAGAUUUUUACAUAGUAUAAUAUUGAAUGAGACAACAGUCAAAAGAAAAUCACAUACUAUAAGAGAAGAGAUUACCCUUACCUUUUAGGAAUCAAGAAAACUCCCUGGAGGAGAUGGUACUUGAACUUAUACUGGAGGAUUUAUAUGUUCAUCCUUCUUGGUUUAUAUUUUGUCCCACACGGUAG